UGCAUAACUAUGGCUCUUAUUUGAAGGCGCUGGUGAAUGAUGAAAGCAUGGCAUAUGGGCUGGGGAGAGAGAGAAAUUUGGCUGUAAACCUUUUUUUCUUCUCUUCUCCCAACCAAGAAGAAAAUGGCAGUUCUUGAGAUACAAAGGGUUUGAGGAGAGAAAGGGGGAAGCAACAACAGAGAAGGAGCAAAUUGUGGUAUUAUGAGAUGUUGCCUAAAUUCCUGCUUUUCUAUGGUUAAUUCUAAAUUGUCAUUUUUUUAAUUUGUUUUGUUAAAUUGCGAUUCUUUUCUCAAUAUAGUCUUUUGUGAAAGGACAUUCUCAAUAUAGAUAUGUUACAGAACAUUGUCGAUAUAGAUUCAUGUAUAUUUUUAUAUAAAUAGGGUGCACUUGUUAAUUGUCAAAAUAUAUCAGAU
rnacentral:lncRNA from 1 species